UGUCGUCAGCUCGUGUUGUGAAAUGUUGGGUUAAGUCCCGCAACGAGCGCAACCCUUAUCCUUUGUUGCCAGCGAUUAGGUCGGGAACUCAAAGGAGACUGCCAGUGAUAAACUGGAGGAAGGUGGGGAUGACGUCAAGUCAUCAUGGCCCUUACGACCAGGGCUACACACGUGCUACAAUGGCGCAUACAAAGAGAAGCGACCUCGCGAGAGCAAGCGGACCUCAUAAAGUGCGUCGUAGUCCGGAUUGGAGUCUGCAACUCGACUCCAUGAAGUCGGAAUCGCUAGUAAUCGUGGAUCAGAAUGCCACGGUGAAUACGUUCCCGGGCCUUGUACACACCGCCCGUCACACCAUGGGAGUGGGUUGCAAAAGAAGUAGGUAGCUUAACCUUCGGGAGGGCGCUUACCACUUUGUGAUUCAUGACUGGGGUGAAGUCGUAACAAGGUAACCGUAGGGGAACCUGCGGUUGGAUCACCUCCUUACCUUAAAGAA
rnacentral:rRNA from 14 species